GAGCUCAGUUGGAGAGGUCUGGUUGGAGGAGGCAAGGUGCCUUCUGCUGAGGUGACAGCUUUGUGCCUGCGGUGUUUUGGUGGCAGCCAGAAGAUGUGAGCCUGCUGGAGGGGAUGGAGUGCUGGUGUUACGUGGUGUUGUGACCUGCUUCUCUUGGGAAGUUUGUGAGGUGGAAGUCAAGAGCCCUGGAAUUUGGAACUGGAGAGGACGCGUUGCAGUCGGUGGCCGUUUCAUGUAGAGGAGCAGUGAAGCACUACCAGCCCUUCUCCUGGCCCUCCUUGCGUAAUCUUCUUUAAGCUGCGACUAUUUGCAGUAUCUUUUAAACGAGGCAGAAUCAGAAACAGUCACAUGCUGCAAAUCUGCACUUCUUGAAGAAAAAGCAGAAUUUUUGCUUCUGUAAAACUGAAUUCAGCCUGCCCAGGGAAGAGCCGUGCUUGGAAGCUACUGCAGUGAGAUAAAGAAGGGGCAGAACAGCAGGCGACCUCCGAGACGCAGCGGAAACUUAAUACUCCACGGAUACAAUUUUUCAGACAGUUUAGAAAUAGUUUAAGGUAAUUUACGGGAAGGCUUGAGUGACAAAGCGCAUUACUUGAAGUGCCUUUCCUUCACUGGGCACUUUCUAAAUUCAUUCUCUUUCAUUUCUUUGCUCUCUGGAGACCUUUAAAUCCAGUGAACCAAAACAACACUUUGUUUGUUGGUGCAGCGCGGCGCUGGCACAGAUGGCAGACACUGCACCUGUUCCAAUAAAAUGGGAAGCCGAGAGAUAAACCAUAGCACUCAUUAACAGGAAUCCGCUGAAACAUGAACAAUCUGUAUUUUGAAUCUCUUCCAGGAAGAAAAGGAGAAACACAUAAACAGACCUUGUUUUCAUCAUCGUCAGUUUAACAUUAAUUUCUUUAAAUGGAACUUCACAUUUGUUUCACGUACAGAGGCACUGCGUAGUGCCGAAGAAACGAUGAUGAUGCUUGAAUGUCCUUAAGAGAGCGGGUGAUUUUCUCUAGCUACACGUAUCCUUUGAAACAGAAAGUAUCUGUGGGCAGUUUUAAUCAGUGAAUCCUCCUCUGCCACAGUUGCAGGAGCUUUCUUCUUUCUGUGCUUUCUCAUGCUGAGUAAGAGCACAGUCUUACUACUGAGUCCGUAAUGAUCAGAAUAACAACAUAAACAAAAGCCUCUCUUCUCAUCUAUUAGUAACUAGCAUGGGGGGCGAGGGGGCAGAGAGCUGCCUGUAAACUUUGCAACAAAACUCACUGCUAAAUCGUUCUUUUUCCUGGCAUGGGGAAAAUGCUAUGUAAUAUCUGAUGGACCGUUAAAGAAUGCUGCAAGUUGUUCAGCAUCCCAUAUAGCUCUUUCUCUCACACAUACAUAGAAGAAUUAAAUGUAAAAUGUCAUGAAAAUUCCUAAGUAUCAUUUAAUGCUGGCAGCCCCGCGCUGUAAAGCCAUUUAUAUAGAGCUGUGGUUGGCAGCUCUCACUCUUGCAUGGGAACAAAUUAACAUUGGCAUUCCAAACACAGGAAAGUAAGGAAAUUAGAAACACAGUUUAUAUUUGGCCAGUGCUUUGAAAUACUGUACCAUGCUACUGAUGUCAAUUAAUGAGAAGCAGAAUUUUGCGGAGAGGGUCUGGUUUUGAAACACAUUAACACACGUUAAACAUGUUUGCACAGGAACUGGAUUGGAAGCAUCUCGGUUCCAAAACAAUAAAGCAAUUACACUAAAACUCGUAGUCUCAAAGUUGCCAUUAAUUCAAUCCACUCAGCCUGGAUCACUGAAGGAUUUUCACCAACUCCAUCACGAAGUCGACACAAACGUGUGACACUGGAAUUAGGGUCGGUGCUUUGUGCUACCUGCGCCUUUCUCUUAGCAAAAGUGUUUACCAACAAAAUCCUAAGCCCUUCUGGUUUUACACAUACGCCAGAAAAGAUCUGGAUGGCAGUUUAUCUCCUGGCACAGCUCCACUGCCUUCAAUGGAAUUCCUCCAGCUCGGAAUUCAGCCCCGCAGUCUUUACAACGCGCUGUUUAUUUGUACUGUGAUUCAGAUAUUUUGAUACCAGGGAUCUUUCGUCGCUGAAGUUUCUCCAUCUGAAAUAUGCCUUACAUUAAGAAAUAUCGGUUUCGCAUUUUUGUCAAACAUUAUUUGUUCAAUUCUGUUUGUUGCAGUAGAUGGGAAUUCAGCUGUAGUUCAACAACACGGAUUCGGCUAAUAAUGAUAAGCAGCG
rnacentral:lncRNA from 7 species